rnacentral:rRNA from 1 species
UACGGGGGGGGCAAGCGUUGUUCGGAAUUACUGGGCGUAAAGGGCUCGUAGGCGGCCAACUAAGUCAAACGUGAAAUCCCUCGGCUUAACCGGGGAACUGCGCUUGAUACUGGAUGGCUUGAGAUUGGGAGAGGGAUGCGGAAUUCCAGGUGUAGCGGUGAAAUGCGUAGAUAUCUGGAGGAACACCGGUGGCGAAGGCGGCAUCCUGGACCGGUAUUGACGCUGAGGCGCGAAAGCCAGGGGAGCAAACGGG